AUACUCCUUCUUUGGCAGCACAUAUACUAAAAUUAGAACAAUACAGAGAUUAGCAUGGCCUCUGCACAAGGAUGACAUGCAAAACAUGGAUCCUGGAUUCAAAUUGCUU
ensembl:snRNA U6 U6 spliceosomal RNA